AGGGUUCGAUUAUGGCUCAGAUUGAACGCUGGCGGCAUGCUUUACACAUGCAAGUCGAACGGUAACAGGUUAAGCUGACGAGUGGCGAACGGGUGAGUAAUGCAUCGGAACGUGCCCGAUCGUGGGGGAUAACGCAGCGAAAGCUGCGCUAAUACCGCAUACGAUCUGAGGAUGAAAGCGGGGGACCGUAAGGCCUCGCGCGAUCGGAGCGGCCGAUGUCAGAUUAGGUAGUUGGUGGGGUAAAGGCUCACCAAGCCGACGAUCUGUAGCUGGUCUGAGAGGACGACCAGCCACACUGGGACUGAGACACGGCCCAGACUCCUACGGGGGGCAGCAGUGGGGAAUUUUGGACAAUGGGCGCAAGCCUGAUCCAGCAAUGCCGCGUGCAGGAAGAAGGCCUUCGGGUUGUAAACUGCUUUUGUACGGAGCGAAAAGGUCUUCCCUAAUACGGGAGGCUGAUGACGGUACCGUAAGAAUAAGCACCGGCUAACUACGUGCCAGCAGCCGCGUAAUACGUAGGGUGCGAGCGUUAAUCGGAAAU
rnacentral:rRNA from 1 species